GCAGCUUUAGCUCACUUGGGAGAGCGCCAGACUGAAGUCCCACUUCAGUUCUUCGAUCUGCGAGCUCCGGCUCGCAGCAUCAGCCACUGUGCGGUAUCUGGAGGUACUGUGUUCGAUCCACAGAAGCUGCA